AGACUGCCCUGCUUCAUUUUUUCUCUUUUAUUUCCAGAAGAUAACAAAAACUCUGGUGAAGGUCCGAAGCGAUUCUGACGUGCAAAUCGAUCGUCUGACUUUGGUAUAGGGGCGAAAGACUAAUCGAACUAUCUAGUAGCUGGUUCCCUCUGAAGUUUCCCUCAGGAUAGCUGGAGUACGUUAAAUAAAGCAGUUAUAUUCGGUAAAGCGAAUGAUUAGAGGAAUUGUGGGACGAAACGUCUUCAACCUAUUCUCAAACUUUCAAUGAGUAUGACGUCUCGCUUGCUUAAAAAAUUUUUAUGAAGCGUAGACAUUGAAUGUGUGCUCCAAGGCAUCAGACACAAAAAUCUAAAACUGUCGAAUUUAGAUUUUCAAUUCUCGAGAGCUAAGCGAAAGCUUUUUUAGAUUCACUGAAUGAAAUAAUGGUUGCCAUAUGUCUGUUAAGUGUCGUAAAAAUGGAGACAUCUCUGCAUGGCUGCUUCCCACUUUUUAAAAUCAUGCAGUAAUUUCUUGCGAACGGAAAAAUCUGGAACAAAAGUCUUUUCAAUAUCAAUCAGAUCAUCCAAGUCAUCCUUCUUCCACAAACCACAUGUGAUUCCUGCCAUCAUAGCAAUACCACAUGCGGAGGCAAAACUUGGACUGGCGAUUCUUUGUAACGGAAGUUUGAUUAGAGUACUAAUUGUCUGACAAAUAAAAUCAUUCAUCGAUACACCACCACAACAUCUACAAAACAACGUUCAAUUACUCAACUAUAAAAUAUUUAAAUUAUUCAUCGCCAUC
rnacentral:ncRNA from 1 species